rnacentral:rRNA from 1 species
GGGUGACACUGUCUCAUACGAUUAAUCAAUGAACCUGAUUUCCCAGUACAAAAGCUGGGAUAAAACCACAAGACGAGAAGACCCUGUGGAGCUUCAAGCCAAAAUACUGACUCACUCUAAACAGUAUUCGCCUUAAGUUGGGGCAACUGCGGAGAAAAACAGAACCUCCGUGAUACAAAGGAGUUUAAAACACCACCAAGGGGGACACCCCAAAAGUGCUGCCCUUUAUGACCCAGUAAAACUGAAUACCGAACCAAGUUACCCCAGGGAUAACAGCGCCAUCCCCCUCAAGAGUCCACAUCAACAGGGGGGCUUACGACCUCGAUGUUGGAUCAGGACACCCAGGUGGUGCAGCCGCUACCAAUGGUCCGUUUGUUCAACGGCUAACGUCCU